UACGAAGGGUGCAAGCGUUAUUCGGAAUUACUGGGCGUAAAGCGCGCGUAGGUGGUUCGUUAAGUUGGAUGUGAAAGCCCCGGGCUCAACCUGGGAACUGCAUCCAAAACUGGAGAGCUAGAGUACGGUAGAGGGUGGUGGAAUUUCCUGUGUAGCGGUGAAAUGCGUAGAUAUAGGAAGGAACACCAGUGGCGAAGGCGACCA
rnacentral:rRNA from 1 species